ACCCCGCAAGGGGUAACUGAGUGGCAAACGGGUGAGUAACACGUGGGUGACCUACCUUCGAGUGGGGGAUAACGUCCCGAAAGAGACGCUAAUACCGCAUCACAUCCUGCCUUUGAAGAGGCGGAGAUCAAAGCCGGGGAUCGCAAGACCUGGCGCUUGAAGAGGGGCCCGCGUCCGAUUAGCUAGUUGGUGAGGUAACGGCUCACCAAGGCAACGAUCGGUAGCCGGCCUGAGAGGGCGGACGGCCACACUGGGACUGAGACACGGCCCAGACUCCUACGGGAGGCAGCAGUGGGGAAUUGUUCGCAAUGGGCGCAAGCCUGACGACGCAACGCCGCGUGGAGGAUGAAGGUCUUCGGAUUGUAAACUCCUGUUGCCCGGGACGAAAAGCUCCGACCUAACACGUCGGAGUCUGACGGUACCGGGUGAGGAAGCCCCGGCUAACUCUGUGCCAGCAGCCGCGGUAAUACAGAGGGGGCAAGCGUUGUUCGGAAUUACUGGGCGUAAAGGGCGCGUAGGCGGCCUGCUAAGUCGAACGUGAAAUCCCCGGGCUCAACCCGGGAACUGCGUCCGAGACUGGCAGGCUCGAAUCCGGGAGAGGGAUGUGG
rnacentral:rRNA from 1 species